rnacentral:rRNA from 1 species
GACGAACGCUGGCGGCGUGCUUAACACAUGCAAGUCGAGCGGAUCGGCGGACGCGUGAGGAAUGCCUAGGUAUCUGCCUGGUCGUGGGGGAUAACGUCCGGAAACGGGCGCUAUUGCCGCAUACUUUCAGUUGAGCCUAGGUCGGAUUAGCUAGUUGUGGGGGGAAAGGCCUACCAAGGCGAAGAUCCGUAUCUGGUCUUAGUGGAUGAUCAGUCAACCUGGAACUGAGAAACGGUCCAGACCCCUAAGGGAGGCAGCAGGGGGGAAUAUUGGAACAUGGGCGAAAGCCUGAACGAGCCAUGCCGCGGGUGUGAAGAAGGUCUUCGGAUUGUAAAGCACUUUAAGUUGGGAAGCGUUACCAACAGAAUAAGCACCGGCUAACUUCGUGCCAGCAGCCGCGGUAAUAC